GCCGCCUUAGCUCAGAGGUAGAGCACUUCCAUGGUAAGGAAGGGGUCCCCGGUUCAAAUCCGGGAGGCGGCU
rnacentral:tRNA from 1 species